GGUACUUGCUGAAGUUUCUUUUCUAUGUUAUUCUGUAUAGUGUACCACUUCUAUCCUUAUACCUUAUACCACUUAUAAGUUAUACCUUGCAUGGUACCACUUAUGCAACCAUAAGGAAAAAGACAAAAUGCAACAGAAGCUUUCAGAACAAAUGAGCAAGCUGACUAAAUUAAUUUUCUCUUUGACAUUAGAAGGCUUUUAAUCUUCAGUACAGGUGAAAAUACACAGCCCCUCUGUUAAAUCUGCUUCAGUGGUUUCAUCCUCAGGUACUGAAGGCUGCACUUAGGUCACCCAGAAGCCUUCUCUUCUCCAGGCUGAAAAAUCCCAAUUCCCUCAGUCUUCCCCCAUAGCAGAUGUGCUCCAUCCCUCUCAUCACUUUGGCGUCCCUUCUCUGGACUGUCUCUCCAGCAUCUCCAUGUCCUUCCUGUGCUGGAGGCAGCUCUGCAGGAUGAACUGGGAUUGCUGGACAGUUGCUACAUCAUUGGCUUGUGAGUUUAAGUUAUUUGUAUUCUGAAUUCAAAAAACACAGUGAAACUUUGUUUGUAUAACCAAGACUUCAUCAUUAGCAAAGAGAAGGAAACCAAGAAGACCAUUGAUUUUCACAAACAUGGAAUGGUCCACAAAAAGAAAGGACAGUCCUUCUGCCAUACGGAGCCUUGUGAAAGAGAUAUAGAAUGUGUUGAUAUUGCCAGGGAAGUAUGAUCUGACUGGAGGAAAUAUGAAAAUGUUGUCCCUGCCUUGCUCUUACCAUGUACCCUUGGCUGAAUUAACGUUUUCACUGAUUUUCUUCCAGAAGUUUCUAGUAUUAGCGUUGUGUUGUUAGGGCUCAGAGGGACUAUAUAUUACCCCCAUCUCAGAACCUUCCCUCAAGAUUUUGAAAAGAGUGAAUAUAAUGCAGAGCUUGUCUGUUCUACUACAGCUCUGAAAUAGCAGAGGACAAUUUUAAAGGGGCUAGGGGGCUAUUUGAUAUUGAAACUGGAUUAAACAAGACAGACAUGAUUAAAAAGAAUGAAAUGCAUAGACAAAGAGUGUCACAAGUCUGCCGCCAGAAGGGCCAGGCUUUCUGUACUCGUCUUGCAACUGUUCUGUGGGUAAUCCUCCAUAUGAUAUCCUUCCAUAAAUUUACUAUUGGAAAAAAAUACUCUAGGAUAAGAUAUCUCUGAGUCUCAUAGGCUCCUAGACACUCCUUAAAGAAAAUAUAUAUUAUUUAACUGCCUACCCUUUUGCUAGGUACCUUAUUAUUGCAGGAAUAUGACUAAAACCAUAGACAAUAAAAGCAUCAGGUAGGAAUUUGACAAUGUGAUGACACAGUGGGACAUACAUUCUAUUUUGGGAUGUCUGUAUAUCACAAAUAGAAGGUCAAUUUCAUUACACACUAGAAAUGUUUCAAAUCAUUUCAUGGUGGCAAUUAGGUAGCCCUGUAAAUUGCAGUGGUCAAACCACGCCAUAGGCGAGAUGGCCAAUCUCACAUGAAACUUUCUGAGGAAAAAAAUUAUCAUCACAUUAAUACUUAUAUGAAACUGGAAGUCAAAGAGCACAAGAAAUCCCAGUUAAUAGUAAGGACAAGUAGUUCCACUGAGUAUCGAACCUAUAUUUCUACAAGUUUUGUGUUAUCACAGUGAUGCCAAAACCAAAGAGAGGCUUUCCAUAAUUUCUCUUUUAACUCAAAAUUGUCAAAGACUAAAUUCGUUUCAUAAAAUCAACAUUUUCUUUAUAUUUCCUGAUUUAAUUUGAUCAUAAUAUGUAUUACAAACAGUUUUUUUUAAAAAAAUUCUUAACCUAUGGUUUUAAAGUAAACACUUUUCAAUUGUUGAACUGAGUUAGACUUUGAGCUGUAACAAAAUGGCAUGGACAUAGUGAUAGAGAAAAUGCAAGAAAAGAAAAUGCACAAAAAAUGUGGUGCAAAAUUAUACAAGAUGUGACCAAGAAUAUGUGUUGAUUGUUUUUGUAUUUUCUUUACAUGCCACAAGAUGGCAUCAAUUAGUUUUCAAUGGACAGAAACUCUCAGCUAAAAAAUUACUUUUUUAUUCCACAGGUUUAGGAAAAGCAUUAAAAAGGAAAAAAAUGCACGGUUUUUUCCCUAAUAAAAUGCAAAAAUUUUCAAAAUAAUUUCUAUAUUAACUAAUGUAAUGGGAAGAAAAUUAUUAAUUAAAUAAAAUAUUUUGAGAGCUGUAUAUGUAAACUGAGUGUAAAAAUGUAAGCAGAGGAAUCUGAUGUUGAAAUGUAUCAGACUUACACUGAUUCAAUAACAUGUACUGCUCUAGCAGAUAAGUUGCUAAAUAUGGCUGAAGGAAAAUGUAGAAUAGAAGGUAGUAUCAUAAUAUACCAUCUUGCUCCACAGAAAGUUCAUCACAAUUUUCAAAAAGUGGCUUCAACGAAGGAGUUUGAAUUUGUUUCCAGAUUUCCUAAAGGUGUCUUUUUUUCUUGGACUCCGAAUUUUCUGUUAAAAUAAGUUUCUCUUGUUUUAUCUUCACUGUGUUUUUCCUUCACAAUUUCUUUAAAUAUGUCUUUCUUAGUCUCUCAAAGACCAGGAGCAAUAGAUGUAAAGGAAAGUUUUUGAAAGUAGCAUCUGUGACAAAGGUCAUUUCUCUGAAGGGUAUGUUAGGAAAGCAAGAAUUGUGCUGUAAGCACAUAAAUAAGAAAUAGCAAGAAAACAGUUAAAAGCUGAGGAAGAAGGAAGUAAAUGCAAGCAAAGAAAGGAGAAGUGAAGGUAGUCUUGGAGUAAUAGAAAUUGCUACAAAUAAUUGUAUUGAUACUUCAUAGGUUAUCUAAACCUUGGGACUUGGGAUUUCCCCCUCAUAAUACCCAAAUUGUUCUUUCCAAACUGUUGCAAAAUGUUGCCAGAAACUGAUUAUCCAUGACAGGUCUUUAUUCAGCCUACAAAGAUAUAACAGAGAUAGAGAAACUAUAAUCUGUAACUGAGAAGUAAGAUGCAGAAUCAUUAUUCCCAGUCUAAAAGGGAAGCCCUCUAGAAAUACCUUUAUCAAUUUUAAGGAGGAUAUUUUUGGGGGAUGGGAAGGAUUAUUAUUGCUAAUAAUGAAAGCAGAUAUCCAGCGCCUGUUUUCAGAACAGUCUAUGCCAUCCCAUUAGUAUCCUUUACAAUUGCUAGAGCUUUUAUAAUGACAUAAUAUAGGAGUGUUCUGCUUCUCUUCUCCUUAUCUGUGUGGGACAGAGGCUCUAGCUUUUUCAUCCUGUCAACUGCAUUAGUGAAGUCUGAGCAUAUCUCAUAUAAUAGCCAGUAUUUCUUUGAUGGUAUAGAACUGAAAAGAGUUCUUGGACUGUUACCAAGUAUCUGAGAGCUCUUAAUUGUCUUACAUCUUCUUAGACAAAACUAGGAAUUACCAAGAAUUGCACCAUGUUCCUUAUAGACAUUUUCAUUGGUCACAGGUAUAAUUUUUCAUCAUUAUUAUCAUCAUUGUUGUAAUUGUUGUUAUUGCUAAAAUUAUCCUAUGCCUUUGUUUAAUCUCAGUUUAAGCCUAAAACAGCAAUGACUGCAAGCUGGCUCCAGUUUGAGAAGCCUGUAGCUCUGAAAUCCAGCACCACCCCUUAAACUGGAUAUUAUACAAUUAAACACUGAAAAGACUUCAAAUAACAGAUCUGUCUGCUGCACAGUAUUUCAGUAAAAGCCCUCAAAAUCAGUAUCCUGGAUAAGAGAAUAAAAUAGCUCAUACUGCAAAAGAGAAUAUUUAUGCCUGAUUCUUUGGGUAUCUAUUGAGGGAAAAAAGACUCAGCAUGAGAAGCAGAAGAACAAAACCCUGGAGACUGACAGAAUAUACAGAAGGCUUCUGAUGCCAGAUAACAGUCUUCUGCUGCUGGAUGAAAGCCAAGAAAGCCAAACAGUUAAUGAACAUAAACACUGCGAUGCAAAUGUUUCCAAAGAAUGGACAUUCGACCUUGGGAUAUAAUUUUAUUUUAAUUGUUUCUGUUAAAGAAGGUAGUUAGAAAAUUAAAUGACUCAUUGAAUAUGGCUACACCACAGUGACAAUUUUUGCUGCUAAUCAGACUAUGCCUACAGGAAGGAAACUCCUCCAUAUACUGUUUGCUGCAAAGAGAGGCUUCUCUAUUUAAAAUAGUAGUUAAAGGUAUCUUGAAUGCUGCCUUUCUUUGCCCAAUAUGUUGUCUUAGUGUUAUCAGCACAGAUCUACUGCUUUGCAGCAUAGCUGUAUACAGCUUCUCCUCACCUUUAACUGUUUCAAAUUAUUCACACGGAUCUGCUUUAUUAUUUAUGGAGGGCUAAUGCUUAAGAGGCUUCAAUGUAAAUAUGGACCAAAUUGUGUUACAGAUACAUCCUAGUAAGAUCCAGAGUCUGUUCUCUAUGGAAUUUAACACUUUUCUAUAUAUUUGUAUGUUUCCAUAUAAUUUACAGCUGUUUGUAUUGCAAUGUCUCUACUGAAACACAUAUCUUAAUUUAAUUCAUAGAUAAGCCUGGUACUCAAGAAUCUGGGUGAUUGUUAUAGCUAAUAUUACUAAAUUGUCUUUUCUGAAUAAUAAAGUUUUACAACUGCAAUAAAAUAAAGCAAUAAAGAAGACAACAAACUGCUCUUCAUAGGUAUACACAGAACUGGGAUGAAGAAGACAGAAGUAGUUUGGUCUGCUGAUCUGUUCCUACCUGUCAAUUUUUUCUCCUAAUGUAUAUGUAUAUAAAAUGGCUAUCUACCUCUCUUGGGCUUUCUACAAAAAUCACUGAGUCAUCAUAUUUUCUGUAAAUGUCAGUGACAAUAGCCUGGCAUUAAACAAUCUUUUAAAAAGACUGAAAGAGAAAGACUUUAAUAUGGCUAUAAGGGAAACACAAAUUGUCGCACUGGGAAAAAAUUCCUGAGCAGAGGGUUUGCAAAACUGUGGAACAAUCUCCCUAUGGAAAUGAUGCUGUAUUAGUUACCUUAGAUGUUGCCAAUUAUAUUGAACAGAUCUCUGAUAAAAAUAGCUAAGUGAAGCUAGCUUUUUGGAAAAAGUACUUGUCAUUUGGUUAUGAAUUCCAUCUGUGGUGGGUCCAGGAUCACAUCUUUAGCAUACAAGACUUAUCAAUCACAAUUUUAAUGGUAAACAGUAGAUCAUAUAAACUGAAAAUGGGACUUUCCUUGUUUUUUACCCAUUUGCACUGUAUUAACUGUUCCUACCAGCAGAAAUCCAUGUGUAAUGUGAAUAAAGAUUCAUUUUGAAAUUUUUACUUCAAAUAAACUGAUUAAUGCAUGUCAUUCAAUUGGAAAGUAUUGAAACUGUUUCUAGUAGUUUUCAGAAUAAUUUUGCAGCCUUCUUCUAGAAGUCUUAUAAAUUUAGAAAAUUUUGGUAUUUGGAAAAUAUAAAGAAUAGGAAGAUAUAUUUAACUGGAAGCAGUAUUUUCCCUUCUUAUUGAUGAUCACUUUAACAGACACAAACAAGGUUACAGAAAUCUACUAGCCUUGAUUUUUCACUUGCACUCUGACCUUUUCCAUCAUACCAGCAGUACAAAAGCCCUUUAAAAUGGAAAUAACCCAGUGGCACAAGGAGUUACUGAUGUAAAUUAAAAUCAGGUUCAGUGAGUAGAAAUAAGGCUGAGGAAAAUUAACCAUGUAGUGAAGAAAGUAAAAUGCAUUCUCCUGAAAUAAACUCUAAUUACACAAGGGAGAGAAAGUUCAAAAAGACCCUGAAUCUCAAUGCACAGGAAGUCAGGCAUGAGCAAAGGAAAGGUAUUGCUGCAUGUUACUCUAAAACAGACAAGGAAUCCCCUCCCUGCCUCCCACCCACAUCUAUUGAUUUUACAGCUGCAGAUGGUUUUUUCCCAUACUUUAUACAGUGAUUUCUUCAUUUCAGAGAAGAUCAAAAUCUUCUUUUAAAUCAUGUCUGAAAGAUCUUGGACUACCAUCCUAAGAGUAUUCAAGUCAUUGAGGCAUUAAAUGCAUUCCCAUCUGCACUGCUCACAUAAUUAUAGCAUACCAAAUAAACUAGCCAAGGAAACUCAGAAAAAAUUCAAGAUGACACUUCUUUUUUCUUCCCAUGAAAAGUCAGACCAUAAAGCAAGUAGCAAAUAUUAAUAUGUCUCUCUGCAUUCACUGACUUUUGGGGUAAAAAUGCAGUUCAGGAUUAAGAAGAAUGUAUCAUGAAUUGUAUCAAGAGACUAACGAUUAAUCAGCAAGUGUCCAGGAAAGAUCAGUGUGAAACAAACACAAAUUUCAGGAAUUUCUUAAGGAACUGUUAAAGUCAGGCAAACUACUCUAUUUGCUGCAAAUAAAUUUGCUGUCUUACAUCUGAAUUUGAAUUGUCCUUUUCUUUUUAGCUGAUAUGCUAUCAGAAGGAAGCAAUAUUAGGAAGCAAUUAGAACAUUAUCAAUGACUGUUGGCGAAACAAGGAAUAUUACAAAACUCAGUAAUCUUGACCUAAGGCAAAACCAUCAGUAUUUAUUAUCGUGGUUGGCUUGUUUUGUGUUUUCCUUCGUAAGAGCAUGAAAAUAUAACAUCUAUGACUUCUAUAAAGUUCCUGGAAACAAAUAAA